UACGUAGGGGGGCAAGCGUUGUCCGGAAUCAUUGGGCGUAAAGAGCGUGUAGGCGGCUCGACAAGUCUGGUGUGAAAACUUGAGGCUCAACCUCAAGCUGUCACUGGAUACUGUCGGGCUUGAGUCCGGAAGAGGAGAGUGGAAUUCCUGGUGUAGCGGUGGAAUGCGCAGAUAUCAGGAGGAACACCUAUGGCGAAGGCAGCUCUCUGGUACGUGACUGACGCUGAGACGCGAAAGCGUGGGGAGCGAACAGG
rnacentral:rRNA from 1 species